GACAGAGGGGGCAAGCGUUGUCCGGACUGACUGGGCGUAAAGCGCGCGCAGGCGGCGCUGGGCGUCGGUGCUGAAAUCGGGCCGCUUAACGGCCCGCGGCGUGCCGAUACGCCAGUGCUGGAGCGCGGGCGAGGGUGGUGGAAUUGCCGGUGUAGUGGUGAAAUGCGUAGAGAUCGGAAGGAACGCCAGUGGUGAAGACGACUACCUGGACCAAUACUGACACUGAGGCGCGAAAGCGUGGGGAUCAAACAGG
rnacentral:rRNA from 1 species